GCUUACAACUGUUUGUACAGGUGCGCAAAGCUUUCCACGUCUUGGGGCUGUCAAGACUACCAGGGCAUUGGCGCGGAAGUGGCAGUGUCCCUCCCCAUGGCACGCGAAAGUGCCACGCCUUUCUCCUUGGAUUUACCAUCCAACUCCCUAACAUUUACACUACUCCAAUACUCAAUCCCUACGAAGCUGCCUUACGAUAGGGCGUUCAGGGCUGUUGCCUUGAACCUUAGGUGCUGUUAAACCAAUGAUACUAAUGUACAAGUUACGCCUUUCGUUACUCAGGCGUGCUGUCGCAACGAUAUGGCGCAUGCAGGGAUGUUCGACCCUGCAACAUGACCUCUGUUGACCUACCUACCUAUAACCUACCCUCACCAGCAUCGCUGGAACUUCAGCGCUGUAAUGUGGAUGCCCGCGUAGGGCCGCACGUUACAUUUGUAUCGUGGCCCCGGUUCUGUCCCCCUGGAUAUGCGUUGAAUUCGGCAUGCGCACGCACGUACUUUGAUUCGCGCGUCGGAAUAACGUUCCGUCUGAUGCGAGAACUGUAACGCGCAUGCUAGAAUAAAGCCCGCGGAGGUCUAUUUUGUCGUUACAAGCGCCCUCUCCAAAGCGAACGGACACCGCGCUCGACGUCACAUGACCGCCGAUCUCACGGAAUGCAGCCAUGCCAGAGCCGACACCGACCUUCUCGCGCCUCCGCUUGAAUCCAUAGCACCUCAGUACAGGGCCACAUCCCAGAAUAAAUACUCAACCCAAAGUUCACAUUCGUGCCCAUACAUAGAAUCUAUGCCAUAAUAUGGGGUAUUCUUAAAAUUAGAUCUCCAGAAUACGUUUUCCACGCCGGCAUCGUACGAAGGAUUUCAGCGAAAAUCCAGGGCAGGCGCCAGGAAUUGGCUAGAAGAUGACUUGAAACUCCGAAGGAUAUCUUAGCACGAUAAUAAAAAAUGGAUGGAAAUUAUAUCAGUGCUAUGUGUUACGCUAUGUGCUCCAUGUACGGUACGUACGGUACUGUACAGCAAAGAGAGCAGGCAAGUAUAGUACCUGCUGCUUGUCCA
rnacentral:lncRNA from 1 species